rnacentral:rRNA from 1 species
AUGAACGCUGGCGGCGUGCCUAAUACACGCAAGUCGAGCGAACAGAUGAGGAGCUUGCUCCUCUGACGUUAGCGGCGGACGGGUGAGUAACACGUGGAUAACCUACCUAUAAGACUGGGAUAACUUCGGGAAACCGGAGCUAAUACCGGAUAAUAUAUUGAACCGCAUGGUUCAAUAGUGAAAGACGGUUUUGCUGUCACUUAUAGAUGGAUCCGCGCCGCAUUAGCUAGUUGGUAAGGUAACGGCUUACCAAGGCAACGAUGCGUAGCCGACCUGAGAGGGUGAUCGGCCACACUGGAACUGAGACACGGUCCAGACUCCUACGGGAGGCAGCAGUAGGGAAUCUUCCGCAAUGGGCGAAAGCCUGACGGAGCAACGCCGCGUGAGUGAUGAAGGUCUUCGGAUCGUAAAACUCUGUUAUUAGGGAAGAACAAAUGUGUAAGUAACUAUGCACGUCUUGACGGUACCUAAUCAGAAAGCCACGGCUAACUACGUG